CACAUAAUGACAGCAAUUUCUCUGAACUAAAUGUUAAUUAAUAAGGCCUGUAAUACUAUGAGAAGGAAAUGGUGGCAAUUGGCAAAUGGAACUCUGUUGCUUGGUAACAAAACCUGAGAAAUAAUCAAAACCCUCUGCACUCACUCAGAAGUGUCCAUAAGUCCUGUUCAAGUAAUCUUAAAAGAGACUGUUCCAAUAUUCGAUCUGCCUCGUUCAACAAGGCAAAAAGGUGAGGAAGCAGAGAAUUAUUUUUGAAUGGCUACUGCUUAAAGAGUUGCCUGCGUGAGGUUUGGUGGCAAGAAGCAGAAGUCAGAGCCUGUGGUUCCUGUUGCUCUUCGGCGGUAUGAAAGAGAGAAGAAGGCGUGCUUCAUUAUAUGAAGCUUUGCUCCUAAGGUACAACUCUUGUAGACCUCCCGGACUCACCCAAUUUCCUCAUAGGCUUUUGCAUUAUCUUAAAAGAUGUUUCCCUUAGUAAUAUGGAGGAGACAAAAUCAAUAAUGUGCAAUACAUUUAAUCAACACGAAAACCUGAUUCUAUCAGGAGAACAGAUUAAAGGAGUCUUGCUUAGACUCCAGGGUAAUUGACAGUUUUUCUGCCUUAUAUGUGGAAUGAUUAUAACAAGUUGUAAUUCAGAUAAUGAACUUCUUAAUGCAGGAAGUUCUUCAUUCAGGAAAUAGAAGUUGGUGAAAUUGAAACAAAUUUAUUAAGUAAAUAAAGGGAAAAGCACAAAAUACUUAGUGGCUAGAGUAUUAUCAAUUGUAAAGAAGAUUUGGAAUAGAACAGUUAGGGAGCUAUAAUUCUUCAGUUUUUAUACUGUUCUACCACUCUAGUAUGUUGCUAUAAUUCUCUGAAUUAAUUUUUUUAAAAAUACAACAGCUGUCUGGAGAAACCAAUUUGAUCUCACUUUUAUUUUAUUUUUUAAAUGCAUUUGAUUAUGUAUAUUUGAGGU
rnacentral:lncRNA from 1 species